UACGGAGGGUGCAAACGUUGCUCGGAAUCAUUGGGCGUAAAGCGCACGUAGGCGGCUCAGCAAGUCGGGUGUGAAAGCCCUCGGCUUAACCGAGGAAGUGCAUUCGAAACUACUGAGCUUGAAUAUUGGAGAGGAUCGCGGAAUUCCCGGUGUAGAGGUGAAAUUCGUAGAUAUCGGGAGGAACACCAGUGGCGAAGGCGGCGAUCUGGACAGAUAUUGACGCUGAGGUGCGAAAGCGUGGGGAGCAAACAGG
rnacentral:rRNA from 1 species